rnacentral:rRNA from 1 species
AGAGUUUGAUCCUGGCUCAGGAUUAACGCUGGCGGCGUGCGUAACACAUGCAAGUCGCGCGACGGAGUUUUUUACAGCAAUGCAGAGAACUCACGGAGCGGCGGACGGGUGAGUAAUACACGAGAAGCUGUCUUGACGUGGGGAACAACGUUUUGAAAAGAACGCUAAUGCCCCAUAGGUCGUAAGAUUAAAGCAGCAAUGCGCGUCUUGAGGCGCUCGUGUCCUAUCAGCUUGUUGGCGAGGUAACGGCUCACCAAGGCGACGACGGGUAGCCGGACUGAGAGGUCGUUCGGCCACACUGGGACUGAGAUACGGCCCAGACUCCUACGGGAGGCAGCAGUGGGGAAUAUUGCGCAAUGGGGGAAACCCUGACGCAGCGACGCCGCGUGAACGAUGAAGGCCUUCGGGUCGUAAAGUUCUUUUAUCGGGGACGAAGGAUGUGACGGUACCCGAUGAAUAAGCUCCGGCUAACUACGUGCCAGCAGCCGCGGUAAUACGUAGGGAGCAAGCGUUGUCCGGAAUUACUGGGCGUAAAGGGCACGUAGGCGGUCUGUCAAGUCGGCUGUUUAAACUCGUGGCUUAACUGCGAGUCGCAGCCGAUACUGGCAAACUAGAGUACUGGAAAGGCAAGCGGAAUUCCCAGUGUAGCGGUGAAAUGCGUAGAUAUUGGGAAGAACAUCGGUGGCGAAGGCGGCUUGCUGGCCAGAAACUGACGCUGAGGUGCGAAAGCUAGGGUAGCAAACGGGAUUAGAUACCCCGGUAGUCCUAGCCGUAAACGAUGAAUGCUAGGUGUGCGUGCAGAGAUGUAGGUGUGCCGAAGUUAACGCGAUAAGCAUUCCGCCUGGGGACUACGAUCGCAAGAUUGAAACUCAAAGGAAUUGACGGGGGCCCGCACAAGCGGUGGAGCACGUGGUUUAAUUCGAUGCAAACCGAAGAACCUUACCUGGGCUUGACAUACAAGUGGUAGGAGCCGGAAACGGUGACGACCUGCCGCGAGGUAGGAGCUUGAACAGGUGCUGCAUGGCUGUCGUCAGCUCGUGUCGUGAGAUGUUGGGUUAAGUCCCGCAACGAGCGCAACCCCUGCGGCCAGUUGCUAGUGGGAGACCACGCACUCUGGCAGGACUGCCAUCGAUAAGAUGGAGGAAGGUGGGGAUGACGUCAAGUCAUCAUGGCCCAUAUGUCCAGGGCGACACACGUGCUACAAUGGGAUGCACAGAGGGAAGCGAAGUCGAGAGGCUAAGCGGAGCCCGAAAAGCAUUUCUCAGUUCGGAUUGAAGUCUGCAAUUCGACUUCAUGAAGGUGGAAUCGCUAGUAAUCGCGGAUCAGCCAAGCCGCGGUGAAUCCGUUCCCGGGCCUUGCACACACCGCCCGUCA